rnacentral:rRNA from 1 species
AUACGUAGGGUGCAAGCGUUAAUCGGAAUUACUGGGCGUAAAGCGUGCGCAGGCGGUUUUGUAAGACAGUGGUGAAAUCCCCGGGCUCAACCUGGGAACUGCCAUUGUGACUGCAAGGCUGGAGUGCGGCAGAGGGGAAUGGAAUUCCGCGUGUAGCAGUGAAAUGCGUAGAUAUGCGGAGGAACACCGAUGGCGAAGGCAAUCCCCUGGGCCUGCACUGACGCUCAUGCACGAAAGCGUGGGGAGCAAACAGGAUUAGAUACCCUGGUAGUCCACGCCCUAAACGAUGUCAACUGGUUGUUGGGGAUUUAUUUUCUCAGUAACGAAGCUAACGCGUGAAGUUGACCGCCUGGGGAGUACGGCCGCAAGGUUAAAACUCAAAUGAAUUGACGGGG